UACGUAGGGGGCAAGCGUUGUCCGGAAUCAUUGGGCGUAAAGAGCGCGUAGGCGGCCCAGUAAGUCCGCUCUGAAAGUCAGGGGCUCAACCCCUGGAUGCGGGUGGAUACUGCUGGGCUAGAGUCCGGAAGGGGCGAGUGGAAUUCCUGGUGUAGCGGUGAAAUGCGCAGAUAUCAGGAGGAACACCGGUGGCGAAGGCGGGAUCCUGGGCCAGUACUGACGCUGAGGAGCGAAAGCGUGGGGAGCAAACAGG
rnacentral:rRNA from 1 species